GAUGAACGCUGGCGGCGUGCCUAAUACAUGCAAGUCGAACGCUGGAAAUCUAGCUUGCUAGAUUGAAGGAGUGGCGAACGGGUGAGUAAUACAUAAGCAACCUACCCACGAAGACUGGGAUAAUCUCUGGAAACGGGGACUAAUACCGGAUAGGUAAUCGGAAGGCAUCUUCUGAUUAUUAAAGGUUAAAAACACUGGUGGAUGGGCUUAUGGCGCAUUAGUUAGUUGGUGAGGUAACGGCCCACCAAGACGAUGAUGCGUAGCCGGCCUGAGAGGGUGAACGGCCACAGUGGGACUGAGACACGGCCCAGACUCCUACGGGUGGCAGCAGUAGGGGAGUUUCGGCAAUGGGGGAAACCCUGACCGAGCAACGCCGCGUGAGUGAUGACGGCCUUCGGGUUGUAAAGCUCUGUUGUAAGGGAAGAACGGUAGAUAGAGAAUAUCUAAAUGACGGUACCUUACCAGAAAGCCACGGCUAACUACGUG
rnacentral:rRNA from 1 species